UACGUAGGCAGCGAGCGUUGUUCGGAAUUACUGGGCGUAAAGAGUGUGUAGGCGGUGCUCCCAGUCUGUUGUGAAAUCUCCCGGCUUAACUGGGAGGGUGCAGCGGAAACUAGAGUGCUAGAGGGUGGGAGAGGUAAGCGGGAAUUCCUGGUGGUAGCGGUGGAAAUGCGUAGAUAUCAGGAGGAACACCUGUGGUGUAGACAGCUUACUGGACCACUUCUGACGCUGAGACACGAAAGCGUGGGUAGCAAACAGG
rnacentral:rRNA from 1 species